GAUGAACGCUGGCGGCGUGCCUAAUACAUGCAAGUCGAGCGCAGCGGGGACGUGUGAGUAACACGUGGACACCCUCUUAUCAGACUGUAAUAACUUCGGGAAACAUGAGCUAAACCUGAUAUUUAUAGCUGGUCGCUGGAUGUAUACGCUAUUUGGUAGGGUAAAGGCUUACAAAGGCAACGAUGCAUAGCCGACCUGAGGGGGUGAUCGGCCACACUGGAACUGAGACACGGUCCAGACUCCUACGGGAGGCAGCAGUAGGGAAUCUUCCGCAAUGGGCGAAAGCCGUACGGAGCAACGCCGCGUGAGUGAGGAAGGUCUUCGGAUCGAAAAACUCUGUUAUUAGGGAAGCGGUACCUAAUCAGAAAGCCACGGCUAACUACGUGCCAGCAGCCGCGGUAAUUC
rnacentral:rRNA from 1 species